rnacentral:rRNA from 1 species
CCCUGCCAUUUGUACACACCGCCCGUCGCACCUACCGAUUGAACGUUCCGGUGAGACCUUGGGAUUUGGUCUUUGGUACUUUAUUGUGCCGUUGACCGAAAAACUUGAGCAAACCUUAACGUUUAGAGGAAGGU